CUGACUGCCAUUGCGAAGGGAUUUUUUCCCUGGAGAUCCCUUCCUUGUGCAGUCUUUCCUGGGAGCCUAGAUCUUUGGAGAGCUGCUCCUCUGUAUGUUGUAACAACCACCCUUCCUGAUCUCCCAGCCUGGCUUUCCUAAAAGGACAUUACCAUCCCCUGCGGCAUUCCUGUGAUGUGAGCUAUCCUUCUUCAUCUCUAACUUCAAUAGCAUCUGUGCACAAACCUCCAACUCGACGUAUUUGUUUCCCAUGAGGAGUGGACCUGUGUACAGGCACUUGAGAACAAGAUUACAUCUCAGGACCUUACCGCAAAUGAGGCUGUAAAUAUCUGAAAACUGGAGGAUUUAUUUGUGCUCUCUUCUACCUCUGCAAUCUUCGUCUACACAAGUGUGACAAAAGAGUAAGAUAUGGCAACCUUGUUUGGCAAAGAGGACCAAGUAAGAUGCAGAACCAGAUUCCUUUGCUUUACACCAGACGAGAAUUUUAACAGCAGCUGAGCUGUCAGAAACUUCACUGGAAAGAGGAGAAUUUCAGUUUACUGAAUGCUCAGAAUAUUCCAAUCUCUGUGAUGUGUCUGAGAAAUGCUCCUCAUUUCAAAGUGCCUAUAUUCUCUUUAAGACUGAAGAAGAAUGAGGAAACGUUUUCAGUUCUUCAGUUUGCUCAGUAUCAACUUUACAUUAUGAGCUGAACGAACAGAGAUCUACAGAAUCACUAGCCAUAGAGAACUAGAUGCUUUAAAAAAAUUGCAGUAUUAAAGAUAUAAAUAGGUAUGUUUUUAAUAUAUAGAAUGAUAUACUCUCACUGAACACUUGAAAAAAAAUUCUUGGAAACAGACUUACGUGUGUUUUCCUGAAGUGUGAAGUGCUAGGAAAUAAAACAAACAGAAAUUCUGAUCAUCCUAUGCAUUGAAAGUAGCCUAGCCAGCCUAGCCAUGGGUUGUUAUAUUCCAUAUUUUCUGAGAAUGAGUACA